rfam:Schistosoma rodhaini strain Burundi genome assembly, scaffold: SROB_contig0003348
AUCUAGCUGACGAGUUCCAAAUAGGAUGAAACUCGCGUCAAACUGUAU